rnacentral:tRNA from 1 species
UGCCCUGUGGUGUAAUGGUAGCACAGCAGAUUCUGAUUCUGCUUGUAAUGGUUCAAAUCCAUUCAGGGUAACCA